rnacentral:rRNA from 2 species
AACCGUGGUAAUUCUAGAGCUAAUACAUGCUGAAAACCCCGACUCCGGAAGGGGUGUAUUUAUUAGAUAAAAAACCAAUGCCCUCCGGGGCUCCUUGGUGAUUCAUGAUAACUUCGCGAAUCGCACGGCCUUGCGCCGGCGAUGGUUCAUUCAAAUUUCUGCUCUAUCAACUUUCGAUGGUAGGAUAGUGGCCUACCAUGGUCUCAACGGGUAACGGGGAAUUAGGGUUCUAUUCCGGAGAGGGAGCCUGAGAAACGGCUACCACAUCCAAGGAAGGCAGCAGGCGCGCAAAUUACCCAAUCCCAAUACGGGGAGGUAGUGACAAUAAAUACUGAUACAGGGCUCUUUCGGGUCUUGUAAUUGGAAUGAGUACAAUCUAAAUCCCUUAACGAGGAACAAUUGGAGGGCAAGUCUGGUGCCAGCAGCCGCGGUAACUCCAGCUCCAAUAGCGUAUAUUAAAGUUGUUGCAGUUAAAGAGCUCGUAGUUGAACCUUGGGUCUGGCCGGUCUGUCUUCCUAACCGUUGCACGGACUCGGUCGGGCCUUUCCUUCUGGGGAUCCCUAUAUCCUUCGCUGGGUGUAGCGGGGAACCAGGACUUUUACCUUGAAAAAAUUAGAGUGUUCAAAGCAGGCCUUUGCUCGAAUACAUUAGCAUGGAAUAAUGGAAUAGGACAGCAGUUCUAUUUUGUUGGUUUCUAGGACCGCUGUAAUGAUUAAUAGGGAUAGUCGGGGGCGUCAGUAUUCAAUUGUCAGAGGUGAAAUUCUUGGAUUUAUUGAAGACUAACUAUUGCGAAAGCAUUCGCCAAGGAUGUUUUCAUUAAUCAGUGAACGAAAGUUAGGGGAUCGAAGACGAUCAGAUUGGUUGGAGACGCUCGUGUGAUGGAGCUGUGGAAUCAACAACUCCCGACUCCGGCUGUAUCUCUCUCUCUGGACGGUCAUUUACACCAGGGAAUAUGGCGUUUCGGAAGGGGUUGUCUCCCAUAGCAGUACUUCACAGGUGUCCGGUCGUCCAUAGUGAAUCGCUAGUCCUUCGGGGCAACACUGUCCAAUUGAGGGGCAUCCCGUUUGGGAUCACCCACAGCCAAGCCCAAUCCUAAGACUUGUUCCAAGGUGCGGGUGCAGUCUACAGACUGUUUGAUGGUGGGCUAGAAUCUGCAGAGAGGUUCUGGUUUAAGAUGUAGUCGGUCCAACGCGGCAAUGUGUUUGGAUUACACGCAGAUACCGUCGUAGUCUUAACCAUAAACUAUGCCGACUAGGGAUCGGACGGUGUUUUUUUAUAUGACCCGU